UACGGAGGGUGCAAGCGUUGUUCGGAAUUAUUGGGCGUAAAGCGCGUGUAGGCGGUCGGGUAAGUCAGGUGUGAAAGCCUUCCGCUUAACGGAAGAAGUGCACUUGAAACUACUCGGCUUGAGUACGGGAGAGGAGAGUGGAAUUCCCGGUGCAGAGGUGAAAUUCGUAGAUAUCGGGAGGAACACCGGUGGCGAAGGCGGCUCUCUGGUCCGAUACUGACGCUGAGACGCGAAAGCGUGGGGAGCAAAC
rnacentral:rRNA from 1 species